rnacentral:rRNA from 1 species
AUGAUGAUAUUAAAUAGCCGCAGUAUUUUGACUGUGCAAAGGUGCAUAAUCAUUUGUCUUUUAAUUGAAGACUGGUAUGAAUGAUUUGAUGAGAAUUAUACUUUCUUUAUUUUAUAUAAAAAAUUUAAUUUUUAAGUUAAAAAGCUUAAAUCAAUUUAAGGGACGAGAAGACCCUAUAGAACUUUAAUUAUAUAAAUAUGAUAGAAUAUUUGUUUAUAAAAUUAUUUAUUUUUUUUAUAAUUUAUAUUGGGGUGAUAAAAAAAAUAGUUUAACUUUUUUUAUUUUUAACAUUAAUAUAUGUAAUUUUGAUCCUUUAUUAUUGAUUAAAAGAUUAAGUUACCUUAGGGAUAACAGCGUUAUUAUUUUGUGGAGAUCU